GGGGUGCUAUACUGCAAGUCGAACGCUUUGUGGUUCAACUGAUUUGAAGAGCUUGCUCAGAUAUGACGAUGGACAUUGCAAAGAGUGGCGAACGGGUGAGUAACACGUGGGAAACCUACCUCUUAGCAGGGGAUAACAUUUGGAAACAGAUGCUAAUACCGUAUAACAAUGACAACCGCAUGGUUGUUAUUUAAAAGAUGGUUCUGCUAUCACUAAGAGAUGGUCCCGCGGUGCAUUAGCUAGUUGGUAAGGUAAUGGCUUACCAAGGCGAUGAUGCAUAGCCGAGUUGAGAGACUGAUCGGCCACAAUGGGACUGAGACACGGCCCAUACUCCUACGGGAGGCAGCAGUAGGGAAUCUUCCACAAUGGGCGAAAGCCUGAUGGAGCAACGCCGCGUGUGUGAUGAAGGGUUUCGGCUCGUAAAACACUGUUGUAAGAGAAGAAUGACAUUGAGAGUAACUGUUCAAUGUGUGACGGUAUCUUACCAGAAAGGAACGGCUAAAUACGUGCCAGCAGCCGCGGUAAUACGUAUGUUCCAAGCGUUAUCCGGAUUUAUUGGGCGUAAAGCGAGCGCAGACGGUUAUUUAAGUCUGAAGUGAAAGCCCUCAGCUCAACUGAGGAAUUGCUUUGGAAACUGGAUGACUUGAGUGCAGUAGAGGAAAGUGGAACUCCAUGUGUAGCGGUGAAAUGCGUAGAUAUAUGGAAGAACACCAGUGGCGAAGGCGGCUUUCUGGACUGUAACUGACGUUGAGGCUCGAAAGUGUGGGUAGCAAACAGGAUUAGAUACCCUGGUAGUCCACACCGUAAACGAUGAGUGCUAGGUGUUUGAGGGUUUCCGCCCUUAAUCGGCCGCAGCUAACGCAUUAAGCACUCCGCCUGGGGAGUACGACCGCAAGGUUGAAACUCAAAGGAAUUGACGGGGACCCGCACAAGCGGUGGAGCAUGUGGUUUAAUUCGAAGCAACGCGAAGAACCCUUACCAGGUCUUGACAUCCCUUGACAACUCCAGAGAUGGGAGCGUUUCCCUUCGGGGACAGUGACAGGUGGAGCAUGGACUGGUCGGUCAGCUCGUGUCGUGAGAUGUGGACUAGGUCCCCGCCACGAGCGC
rnacentral:rRNA from 1 species